ACUAAAAAAAAAAAAAGAAAUGUAUGCAUGACCCUAAUUAAUUAAAUGUCCAAUUACUGGUCCCUUGUUUAACACCAUUAUCCUAAAUAAAACUUCUGUAACAUAGAAACAUAUGUAUAGCAUAAAUUACUAUAUGUCUUCAUUGUGAACAGACUUUUGUGUGUGUGUGUGUGUGUGUGUGUGUCUAUGUGUAUAUGUUUGUAUAUAUGUGUGUGAGUGCAUAAGUAUGUAUGUAUAUUUUUUUUACAAAGAGGCUCGAUGUAAUUCCCUGAUUAGGUAAAUCAUAUGACCAUAAGGAAUACGUAGAUUUAUAAAAAUUCAUGAGGAUUUAUUCAUAGAUUUUAUUAUUUAAGCUUUUGUCCCAUCUUAAGAACUGAUAUUCCCCUAAUACUUUUAUCACUAAUUUUACUUUCAUUUAUUUUGCCCAAUCUAUAUUUAUUAAUAGUAUUGAAAACCAAAAAUCAUUAUUAAUAUUAUUGAAGAAAAAAUGUUUAUGUCCCAUAAAAAUGUGUUUUUAAAAGUUUAUAACCUUUGGCUUCUAAAGCAACUAACAAACUCUUAUAAACUGACACUAAUUGGAGCGUGUCAUCUGUCCCUAUAGAGACAUCAGCAAUGAAGGAUUCAAAAAAGAUUUCUGCCUUCAUCUUCGAAAGCUGGUGAGGUAAAGAAAAUAUCAAUGAGUGUUAGACACCUUUACACAGGUAGAGGUGAUAGGUAGAGAGUCUCAAGAGAGAGACAGGCACAGGAGCCAGAAGCAGCAGAGCCAUUUCCACCCCGGGGCCUAGAGAAGGGGAGGAGAGAAGUGAGGAAAGGUUAUCAAAGCCAGAAAGGAGAUCCCUUGCUUGGGUUUAUACAGGCAUCAGUCUCUGGCAUCAGAGAGCAGGGUGAGAUAGACACAGAGGGACAGACCAGACCACCAACACAUUAGAAGUGUGUGUGUGUGCGUGUGUGUGUGCGUGUGUGUGUGUGUACAAGGGGAUGUGUAUAGGUGGGGAAGAGGCAUACACACUUAUAAACCUAUCAGAGAUGAUCUUCCAAGACUGAGGCUUAGUUUGGUACAAAAUGCAAAGCAGGUAAACAAAGGGAACUCUGUUGGGUCAAUAAAGAUCUCAAAGAUUGUAAAUGUCUUACAGAUAAGGAAUACAAUGCAGGAAUCUUCAAAACUUAGAGGUGGACAGGACCUUACAAAUCUUCCAGUUCUUCUCUUUUCCAGGUGGUGAUGAGGCCCAGAAUGAUGAAUUGGCAUUUGUGGGUCUGUGCUAAGUAGAGGCCAUCCUAGAGUAGGACCUACGCCUCCCGGCUCCCUAACUUUCCUUCUUUCCAUCCCAUAUAGCUACCAUUCUUCUCUAAAUUCUGUUGCCUGUCCAGUGCAGAGGAUUCCAUGAAACGUAGAUAGUUGUAUCUAUCUACAUAGAUACAUAGAUAUUAAAAUACACCCAGUCUGUAUGCUCCUGCUUUCCCGGGGCAGCCUCUGGCUUUAUUCUCUACCAAUUUUGAACUAGGUUAGGGUAUUUUGUAUGUAGCCCUACCAAGUCAAUCCAGAGCAUCACUGAGAAUGCAGAUUUUACUGGAAAAUAGAGAGGAGGCAAUAAAAAUCCUCAUUCAACCUCUAUGAUCUGCCCCCAAAGUUACAGUUAAGCUCUAUAUUCCUCCUUUUCUCCUGACCCUCCCAGAUCUACUUCUGUUUCCCUUUCUUUCACCUCUUCCCCCCACCUCUCUCUCUCUCUCUUUCUCUCUCUCUUUCUCAGCCUCAGUCUCCCUCUCACACACACAUCUGCCCACACACCUGCCCCAACUCACUUUUUCAGUAUUUUUCAAACUGCGGGUUGGUUAUAAACCAAGAGUGGGUUGUGAAAUCAAUUUAGUGGGUGAGACCUAAUAUUUUUUUGAAAUGAAAUAAAAAUUUUAAAAAGUGAAAUAAAAAGUGUGUGUGGAGGAAGGAAUUGUAGUGUACAGUGCAUUUCCUAUUAUGAGUCGGAGUGAGAAAAGUUUAGAAAAUGUUGUCCUUCAUCAUGUUGCCAUCAGUACGUGAAAGUCCAUUAUUCUGAGAAUGAUAGCAUGGGGCUCAGUUUACUAAAGAUCCUCUAGUUUCUAGGAUUCACUCUCUAUAGGAGACCUGGGGGAGGCAGAAAUGACAAAUAACAAAUAUUUUCCCAUCACGUAGGUAAUGAGCCUAUCAGUUAGUGAGCAGCAACUGAAUUUUUGGGGUUAUUGUUGAGAGGGAUGUGGAGAGGUUUUCUAUCCCUGGAGUAAGGGGUGAGAUUGAAGAGCUGUCCUUCAGGAUGAGUAUAUAGGGAGAAGGUGGUCAAGGCUGGUCAGAGUGAGAGGGGGCACCUGAGGAGCAUCCCAGAAGGAGGACCAAGCCACGCAGCUGGAAACCUCUUGGAUAUGGAAUAAGAGCUCAGAUUGUUGUUCAAUUCAGGGAAGGGCCACCCCCAUCAGGCUGGAGGUUCCAUGGAUAUCCAGGAGUAAAACUUGGGUUACAUGAUCUUUGCCUUCUUUACAUUUUUAAUGCAUAUUGACCUCUGGUUCAGACUCUUUCACUUCGGAAAAAAGAUUCUAUGAUGACGGGAGAAGGCAGAGAAGAUGGUUGUAAAUGUGGAGGAAUCCACCCAAAGCCUGAGGCACUGACAUGGUAAGUAAGGAGUUGGCUGGGGUCCCUCAGGAAGGCAUUCUUUGUGUCACCUGUAUGUGUUCUCAGGCCUUUUAAAUAACAGAGUUGUGCUUUCUUUUUUUUUUAUAUUUUAUUUAUUUAUUCAUGAGAGAUACAGAGAGAGAGAGAGCCAGAGACACAGGCAGAGGGAGAAGCAGGCUCCCUGCAGGGAGCCUGACAUGGGACUCGAUCCCAGGACCCUGGGAUCAUGACCUGAGCCAAAGACAGAUGCUCAACCACUGAGCCACCCAGGUGCCCCCCAAGUUCUGCUUCCUUAAUGUCCAAAUUGUUAAAGCAUGAGUCCAUGCCUGUAUAUUUGUUGGACACAAACCACCUCCAAAUCCUCAGUUGCUUCUGAGAGUCUGGCAGUUGGCUGCGCUCUGAACAAACCCUCAAGUUUUAUCUUCUCAUCUUGCUUCUGGCUCAGUGCAGAACACUCUGAGAUGUGUUUUCUGCUAUCUCAUCUGGGUAUCUGCUGUUGACGACCCAACUGCACCAACAGGAUGGGGCGCUGCUCACCUCAAGUUCAUGGGAACGUGGAACUGUGUUCUUGGUCUUUACUAGCAUUACUAAAAACCCAGAUGUACCUUCUUGAACCUGUAAGGCUUCAUAGCUGCUGCCCUGCAUCCUGGCUGCCUAGAAAUGAGCCACCUCUCUACAUGGUCAUUGCCACUAGCUCCUUCCAUUGUCUCAGGGACAGCUGACUUCCACCACUGGAAUGAAUCCGGUGUAUCUAUGUCUUAGCAUCUGGGGCCAGUGAAUGCCUAGCUUCCAAAAGAAACAAGAAAACCUUACUUCCAGUCCAAAGUCAAUCCCUCAUGUCUUCCACAAUUCUAACUUUUUUCCAGUAAGAGUGUCAGUUCUUUGGGAAGAUUCCACUUAUACACACCAAAAUGGAUAAUAACAAAAUAGUCCUAUAUUGGUGCAUUUCACGAAGUCUCAGUUAUCCUGUCUUAUCCAUUGUCACCUUGAGGAAACUUUCUAGAGAUGGUCAUUCCUUACUCACUGAAUGGUUGAAGUUACCUGCAAAAUGACUUUACUAGGAACCAUUCCCUCUGCAUUCCUCCUCAUUCCAUUCCCCUUUGUACCCUUCCAAUGUCUUCUUUUACUUUGAAAACUAUGAAUAUCGUUCCUCUUCUCUAUUCUACUUGGUCCACAGGCCCACUGAGUCUUGUUGAUAUAGACUAAUUCAACACAUAUAUUUUUGGCCAUUUAUUGUGUCCCAGUUACUGCUGCCAGACUACACAGUUUGCUCCUUCAGCAGAGAGAAUUCAUAAACUCAUCUCGCCAUUGUACCCUGCAUUCAAUGGCCCAUGUCUGGAAGCUGCCCAAAGGGAAACAAACAUGGAGGAAGAUCAGAGUCUCUAUGCCUGUGAGGGCUGCUAAAGAUUUGCCUUCAUUCCAAAUGGCAAGAAUAAAAUCCAUCUGGGCAGAGCGUCUUAAGAAGCUACGGGCCAUGAAAUUCUUCAUGCUCUGGGAGUUUUGUUUUCCUGUACCCUUUGACAUAGAGCUUUCAUUGAGAAGGGGAAAAUGAAGAAAGAAGUGGUGGCUCCAAGUACCAUGAAUAGCCCCACCCUAGGGGGAGCAGCUCAUGAACAGGAGAAGGGCCCUGCGUGAGUCAAGGAGCUGCCAUUUUGCUGACAAGAGGCUUACUGUAAAGCAUGGAGAGUGACAGUCCCCAUGGUCAUCGCCUUCUUGAGAUCAGUUUGGAGGGCCUGCAUUGACUGCUUCUGGUCAGAUGAGCCUCUUUGUGUCUCUCCUCGCCUGGACAUCCGGGUGCCCGCUGGUGACAAGUAUCGGCCAGAGACACCGAAGACUGAGCGAGGACGCUUUGGUCUGAGAGAGCCUAUUCCGGGAAGGGGCUGAGAACCUGCAACUUUCCCUUUGAACACAGUAUAAAUGCUACUGUAGACCUCAGAGGUUAAUUCAUUACAACAAAGCAAUUAAAUUUAGGGGCUGUUUGGAAGAUAAAAAGCAGCGAGUAAUAACCAGUUUGGAAAACUCAGCUGUGAUGGAUUUCUAUAAUUUCCUGCAACUUCACAGAGCCACAACUGGUGACCCGAGGCGGGACGGUGUGACUGCCCGGUGGUGUCAGAAACGCGAGGGGGAGAUUAUUUUUAUUAAACAAGUUACUUCUGAAGCGUUGGCCUCUCUGGCUUCCCCUUUCUCUCUCAUGAAGGUCAUUUGCCAGCUGGUAAUGCCUUUAACCCUUAAACAUACAGUCAGCCUUGUUUAGUCGGGAGGAUCAUUUUACAAAGGGAAGUGAUCUAAACUGCUUCUCCUCCUAGCUAGUAUUCUCGGUUUGGAAUUUGGACUGCCUCCCCUCUGUUGGUAACGCACCUACGUUGAUUUGACCGCUUUGCUUGCCCACCUGCCUCUGGCGGAUUUUGUAUAAAUUAUCGAGAAAGAAGACACUUGGCUUGUCCGCUUCUUCGUUACAGGGCUUCAUCCAUGAGAGAGAAGAACACAGUGCUCUCCUGGCAGGGCUGGAGCUGGGAUAAGAAUCCGAGAUUUGAAUUAUUUUUUGGCUCUGUUCUCUGCACCUCUUUCUAUCUUACUAAGCAUGUAGCCGGCCUGAGCUGUUCAUUCCACAGACGUUUCUGGGCACCCACUUUGCGCACGACACCGUGCUGGGCCCCAUGGCGCAGAUCAAGGUAUAAUCACAUGGCCUCUGCCCUCUGGGAACCUGUCCCUGCUCUGUUUCGGGGUGGGGGGGAGUACAAUGAGGUUGCUGACACAGUUGUUUUAGGAGAUUGUUUUCUCGGAGCCAAAUUGCCCUGUCUCAUUAAUGACAGGCUCAAUUUCCAUCAGGUUCCUUGCUGGGUCUUGCAGGGCGUCCAAGAGGGAGCUUCCUUCCAGCGCAAAUUGUAAUUCUCUGCAGAUAUGUGUUGGCAUCCACUGCUCAGGAACAUAAUGGAGUUAAUUUUAAGAAAAAGCAAACACAAAUAUUACAGCGAUCAGGAGAGCGGCCACAACCAUCUGAGCCAUUCCUUCCUUCAAUGGAGGAAUUAGCUCGUUAAGUAAUUUGCACUGCCUCUGUUUCCACGAAGGAUUUAAGGAGACGAUUUGUCCGGUUCAGAGGAAUAACGGUUUCAGGUUUGCAGUCAGGAGACUGAGUUCGAGCCCCAGUUCUGAUUAGUUGCCCCCCUUUUAGCCUGUGGGGCCCAGAUGUCAUUAAAUCAUUUGUUCCACCGACUUCUCAGGGCUGGUGGGAGGACGAAAUGAGAUAGUAAUACACAUGAAAGGACUUUGUUAAGGAAUAAAGCGCUAUGCACAUGUUAGUUAUUAUUUCAGAAACCAAAGUUAAGAAGAGAUAAAAAUCUUAAUCGGGCAGGAAUUUUUCUACAGAGCUAGUUGGCAGGUCUUCUCUUUCUCAUUUCUUCUCUGUUUGCAUCUCAGAGAAUUAGCAACCAGAUAGGAAGGAAAUGCCAUUAUUAGAAUAUAGGCUGUCUGGGUGGCAGGGAGGUUUUAGCUGAGGCAUUUUUAGCGGUGUGGUUUCCAGGACUCUGAUUUGCAUACCUGCAACUGUCUAGCCUGCUGGUGACAAAAAUAUCCCCAAGUGACAUAUAUUAUGUGUCUGUUUGCCAGGGUAGCUUUGAUUUUUACCUUGAAGCUCAUUCUUUUGGGUGGAGCCAUUGACUCCAAAGAGAUGGUUCAGAAUAGCGCUCAGUCCAAAGGUCUAUAGAGAGUGUCUGGAGGACCACACGUGGCCUUUGCCACCACCAGCUACGUUAUCCUCCCUGAGAGGCAUCAGCCUGCAUCUGAUAGGACCUGGCAAAUGGCUCCUUAGGCUGUAUUUUGUAUUUUGUGAAAUCCAUGUUAGAUGUAUCUUAUUUGAAAAUUAAAAUAUGUAUAUGUGCACCCACACAUAUACACAUCCAUUUAUCUAUUGUUCCUUUUUAAUCUCUGAUCUCUUUUUUGUUUGUUUGUUUAUUCACCAAUUGGUGUUGACCAAUUGUUUGCUCACCAAUUGGUUGUUCAUCAAUGUUCUGUAAAAACGUGUUUCCCAAAGAGUGGGAACCGUAAAGGUUCACUUUUAUGAGAAUAACUUGGGGUGUUAAUUGAAAAUGCCGGUACCCAUCUUUGAGACAUAACAAAUAAGACUAUCUGAAGGCGGGACCUCAGAAUCUGCAUCUUCAACAGGCUUCCCUGGAACAUAUCAACCACACUCAAGUUCGAACCUUUUCUGUAAAUAUUGUCCACAUGGGUUUGGUAGUUUUACCACCAUUUCUCUUGGGUUAAAAGUUCCUGGACUAGCACUCUUGACUUCAUUUACAGCAGCUGGAUCAACUCUUAUUAGCUCUACAUUCAUCUUCAGCUUUGGUAGAGCCUUAACCAAUUUUGAUUUUAUUCUUCUUGGCCUAAAGAUCAUUCUUCUUUCCAGACAGAACAAAACCAAAGCAGGAGUCAGGAAGCUCGGCUUUCAUUAUACCAUCCUUCAAAUAUCCAGCAUUGAAACCAGCCACUAGACCUCUCUGUGUAGUUAGUCCAUGCCUGCCACCAAAAGGUCUCUUGUGACUCUUGGAUUGUCCCUUGCAUCACUCACCAUGGAUCAGGGUGACUAUUCGGGUUUAUUCAGAAGUCUCCCAGAUUCAGCACUCAAAGUUCCAUGUCCUGGGAAGCCAGAACAGCUAGUUACCGUAUCAGAACACUGACCUCCCUGACUCUCUUCUUCCAGCUUGGUCUAACUUGUACAUUUCAUGUCAUACAAAAGUUUGAUUUGCUGUUCAUCUUUGUCCCUAUCUCUUGAAUACACUUCUGAGAGUAUCCUCUGCAAGAAUACUGGUUUAUUUCUAUUGCAUUGCUUUUAUUUUUUAAAACAAGUAGUCGCUUGACUACUGUCCAGUGAAGGGAUGUUUGGGCUUCCAUGUAAACCUCUUGCAUGUGGAAUCAGAGCUGCCCCAGGAACUGGCUGUGCUUUAGCCUCCUGCCUUUUUGCAUUGAGUGGCACAUCAGCUGGCUUGCUUUCCUUAUCUAUUAAGUAGGGUCAUCCUCUCAGUGAUCUUUUGUGUCAUCCUUUUGGUCAAAGAUAGAAUCUGUAUGGUUUAGGAUUCAUCUGAAAAUAAGAACCCAAGUGUCCAGCCAACUAGUAACUAAAGUGGAGUUUAGCAAGCCACCAAGUGCUCACAAGGACACUCAAAUAUCUCUAAGGUGAUCCCAUGCCUUCUGUUAAUACCCCCUCCCUGUACUGCUUACUUUACCCUCUGAUGUGGGUGGUUCUAAUGUUAUUUUGGGAGGGGGCUGAAACCACAAGAAGACUGUGUUAUAUGGAGUUAAAAGAGGGGAUUUCUUGAGAUCUGAAUUAGUCAUAGUCAGAUUGCAGACAUUUGCAACAGACUUAAGACAGUACACUGUUUCCCCUGUGAUUCCUUGUCUUCAAAUGGAUAAUAAAAUUCUCAAACAUUAUUUCAUGCCAGACCAACUUUUAAUUUUCUUUAGUUACACUAGGCCCCCUCACUUUUAAAAAGAGGUACAUGAAUCAGUACCCUGUACUGAUUUAUUCGUUUUAUUUUAUAUUUGAAAAUAAAUAACCCCCUCCAAAUAAACCAUUUGGCCUCCUUGAAGCAUUUCCCUCUUUUCUUCCACUUGAGAUCAAUAGAGAAUUUUCCAUCACAGUAAUAACUGCCUCCCCAUUUCUUUUUAAGAUCUUCCCACCCCCAUGAGAUAGGUUUCCUGCCCGACCCACAAGGCCAUGAAAUAAUACCUUCAAGUUCUAGUGUUGGCCAGACACUCUGCUCUUGGCAUGUCCCAUCUACAUCUGGGUGGCAUCCUCCACACGCUGCAGCUGACCACAACCUCCCCCACCCUUCAUCCUGGCCUGGUCCUCUCACACACGUGUUCUCCAGUAAUCUUUCAGCAGCAGGCUUCUGAAUUCUAAGAGAGCUAUCUCCUUGACUUAUGUUACGCAGCCUCCCUUUCUACAAAAGAAUCCUCUUCUUUUGAAUUCCAGUUUGAAGACUCAUUCCACUGAGACUUGGGGACACCUGAGACAGAAGAGUCCCUAUCAUCUUAACUUCUGUUCCUUUCUGCAUCAAACAAAAGUCCAUCUCAGUUUGUAAGUGCAGUCUCCCCUUUCUCUUCCAGCUACAAGGACACCUUUAAAUUCCACCUGGAAAUGUUUAAGAAAACUAAGAACACUAAAAGCCUUCCACAGUGAUUAGAAUAAAUCCUCGGAUUAACCUAUCGGGGUGGAACCAAAGAGAGAAAGGCGCUGCUUUUCAAAGUUAUAGUCAUGCUACUUCCUAGAAGGAAGACAGACCUUCUAUUAGGAAUGGAGCUGCUCUUUUUUUUUUUUUCAAGAAAACAUUUUAAUGAGGCUUUGAUUACACACCAUGUUUUAUUUAUAUGAAUGCAUUUGAAUUAAAGACAGACAUAAAAUAACUUUGCAUAGUUUUUAUGAAAAUUUCAGUUUCCUUUGGAUUAGCCCAAGGGCUCACCA